UGGGGAAUAUUGCGCAAUGGGGGCAACCCUGACGCAGCCAUGCCGCGUGAAUGAAGAAGGCCUUCGGGUUGUAAAGUUCUUUCGGUAGCGAGGAAGGCAUUUAGUUUAAUAGACUAGGUGAUUGACGUUAACUACAGAAGAAGCACCGGCUAACUCCGUGCCAGCAGCCGCGGUAAUACGGAGGGUGCGAGCGUUAAUCGGAAUAACUGGGCGUAAAGGGCACGCAGGCGGUGACUUAAGUGAGGUGUGAAAGCCCCGGGCUUAACCUGGGAAUUGCAUUUCAUACUGGGUCGCUAGANCACUUUAGGGAGGGGUAGAAUUCCACGUGUAGCGGUGAAAUGCGUAGAGAUGUGGAGGAAUACCGAAGGCGAAGGCAGCCCCUUGGGAAUGUACUGACGCUCAUGUGCGAAAGCGUGGGGAGCAAACAGGAUUAGAUACCCUGGUAGUCCACGCUGUAAACGAUGUCGAUUUGGGGGUUGAGCUUUAAGCUUGGCGCCCGUAGCUAACGUGAUAAAUCGACCGCCUGGGGAGUACGGCCGCAAAGUUA
rnacentral:rRNA from 1 species